UGGGCACACUUAAUAUUUGAUUUGCUCACAUUUAAUGCAGUGUGCAAGGAAUUAGAGUGUGCCCAAAGCAAAGACCAGCCAUGUUAAAACAGCGGCGAGAAUCGCGUUCAAUGCACCCGCCUCUACCUGUAGCAUGGCAUAA
rnacentral:snoRNA from 1 species